rnacentral:rRNA from 1 species
AACGAACGCUGGCGGCAGGCUUAACACAUGCAAGUCGAACGCCCCGCAAGGGGAGUGGCAGACGGGUGAGUAACACGUGGGAACAUGCCCAAAGGUACGGAAUAUUCUCGGGAAACUGGGAGCAAUACCGUAUGUGCCCGAAAGGGGAAAGAUUUAUCGCCUUUGGAUUGGCCCGCGUUGGAUUAGCUAGUUGGUGGGGUAAAAGCCUACCAAGGCGACGAUCCAUAGCUGGUCUGAGAGGACGACCAGCCACACUGGGACUGAGACACGGCCCAGACUCCUACGGGAGGCAGCAGUGGGGAAUCUUGGACAAUGGGCGCAAGCCUGAUCCAGCCAUGCCGCGUGAGUGAUGAAGGCCCUAGGGUUGUAAAACUCCUUCGUGGGGGACGAUAAUGACGGUACCCCAAGAAGAAGCUCCGGCUAACUUCGUGCCAGCCGCCGCGGUAAAAC